CUCAUUGGGAGCAGUGGCGGACUUGUGCGUGUGUUUGUUUGUUAGUACGUGAGAUUGAUUGAUUGAUUGAUUGAUUGAUUGAUUGAUUCUUUCAAUCAAUCAAUGAGUGUGCGUUUGGGAGAGUGUGAGUGAGUGUCCGUGUGUUACGGUGAGGUGCCUGAACCGCCCCGUUUCCCUCCUACACUCUUGAUCUUAUUUGAUCGGCCGGGAGGCCCGGGCCCCGGUCUGAGGUGAUGAGAAAAAACCGCUCGCGAGCUGCUGGCGAUGGGCGGAGGCGGCGGGAAAGGCCCCGGGCGGAGCGGAAUUGAUGAACGGAUCAGAUAGAUGAGGCCGCGGCUCAUAGCCCGGCCACUGAGUAUCGAGGCGAUUCUGAUCCGC